rnacentral:rRNA from 1 species
AGCAGCCGCGGUAAUUCCAGCUCCAAUAGCGUAUAUUAAAGUUGUUGCAGUUAAAAAGCUCGUAGUUGAAUUUCGGGGUCAGUAAGUUGGUCGUGCCACUGGUAUGUACUGGCUUUACUGAUUCCUCCUUCUUGUAGAACCGUAAUGCCAUUAAGUUGGUGUUGCGGGAAAACAGGACUGUUACUUUGAAAAAAUUAGAGUGUUUAAAGCAAGCUAACGCUUGAAUACAUUAGCACGGAAUAAUGAAAUAGGACGAACGAUCCUAUUUUGUUGGUUUCUAGGAUUGACGUAAUGAUUAAUAGGGAUAGUUGGGGGCAUUAGUAUUCAAUUGUCAGAGGUGAAAUUCUUGGAUUUAUUGAAGACUAACUACUGCGAAAGCAUUUGCCAAGGAUGUUUUCAUUAAUCAAGAACGAAAGUUAGGGGAUCGAAGACGUAUCAGAUACCGUCGUAGUCUUAACCAUAAACUAUGCCGACUAGGGAUCGGAUGAUGUUAAUUUUUUAAUGACUCAUUCGGCGCCUU